rnacentral:lncRNA from 1 species
UGAAAGUAUGAAUUAUGAAGUUCCCGUCAUGGCUCAGGGGUUAACGAAUCGACUGGGAACCAUGAGGUUGAGGGUUCAAUCCCUGGCCUCGAUCAGUGGGUUUAAGGAUCCGGCGUUGCCAUGAGCUGUGGUAUAAGUCACAGACACAGCUCAGAUCCCGUGUUGCUGUGGCUCUGGUGUAGGCCGGCAGCUACAGCUCCAAUUCGACUCCUAGCCUGGGAACCUCCAUGUGCCAUGGGUGCGGCCCUAAAAAGACCCCAAAAAAGAAAAAGUAUGAAUUAUAUGUCUAACUUUAUUCACCCAUCCACAUGUCCUUUGAAUCUACAUAGUUUAACAAGUUCAUCACCAAUUUGCAUUAGGUAAUCUUUUUCAUAAUUUGAAAUCAUUAGUCCAUUUCUAAAAUUGUUACAUGUUAACAAUUUCCAUCAGGAGAGAUGGUUAAUCUCAGUAAUCUGGACAAUGUGCUGAGGAAAAUGGGACUAGAACUCACCGAUAAGGAAUAUAAGGAGCUGCUGAAAACACUGCCAAUUCACGGUCAGUAUUUAGUACAUCCCUUGAAGCUUGGUUUCAUGGACGUGAGUGUGGAAACUAAUGAAAUUAUAUAUGUGUAUACCCGAUAAAACCUAUUUAGAAAACACGAUUCUCACAUAAGAAACUCUGUUCUUGUUGCUUAAAUUUUAAUACUGAAAAUUGACAUCUUUCACUCGUCUCCCACCAUAAAGGCUAAAUUAUCCUGUCCCUCUGAGCACACUGCCUAAUCUAAAUUAUGACCAAGGCAAAAAGGGAAACCCAGGAAGUAAUAAAAGGAAGGAAAAAGGGAGAAACUAGGCAAUAAGGCUAUUUUAACUCAACCAAUAGGCGGAUUUAUAUCAGUGAAAGCUUUCUUCAUCUUUGGUUUCAUUCUUACUUGAGGGUAAAAUAGAAUAACUUCUAAACAAAUCUGAACAGGUUUUUUUUUCCCCCUAAGGUUAUGAAUGUUGUAUUGUCUUUGUGCUGUCUUUGUUAAUCUUUCCAUUAUUUAACCUAUUUCUUUAAUUGUGUCUUAUAUUACAGCUGAUGGAAAAGUAUACAAGAGUAGAUUGUUAAAAGCUGUGAAGGCCCUCAAAGGUGAGUAAAAAGCAUAGUGAAAAAUAAAAUCCUCAGCAUUGAAUCCUCAGCAGUUUCUUUUAAAUGUUCCAAGUUUGCUUCCUGCCGACUGAUUGAUUGUUAUGACUCAUAACCUCUCAUUCUUCUUUGGGUGCUUUGACCUUUAGGAUAUAAGUUAAAGUGUGUUACUGGAGAAAGUUCCUAACACUGUCUUCUGGUUAAAACUGUAUAGAUUGGUGGUUAUUUCAAUCAUGAAUCAUUAGAUUUACCUAUUCCUCUCUAAUGACCUCUCAUGGAAAACUGAAGCAGAGUCCCCUGGAUAGACAUUAAGAAAGAUAUCCUGGAGUUCCCAUCGUGGCGCAGUAGUUAAUGAAUCCGACUAGGAACCAUGAGGUUGUGGGUUUGAUCCCUGGCCUUGAUCAGUGGGUUAAGGAUCCGGUGUUGUCGUGAGCUGAUGUAGGUCGCAGACACGGCUUGAAUCUCGUGUUGCUGUGGCUCUGGUGUAAGCCUGUGGCUACAGCUCCGAUUCAACCCCUAGCCUGGGAACCUCCAUAUGCCACGGGAGCAGCCCUAGAAAAGGCAAAAAGACAAAAAAAAAAAAAAAAAAA